rnacentral:rRNA from 1 species
GCUUGUCUCAAAGAUUAAGCCAUGCAUGUCUCAGUAUAAGUUCCUGUACGGCGAAACUGCGAAUGGCUCAUUAAAACAGUUAUAGUUUAUUUGAUGGUCCUUGCUACUUGGAUAACCGUAGUAAUUCUAGAGCUAAUACAUGCAUAAAUCCCCGACUGCUUGGAAGGGGUGUAUUUAUUAGAUGGAAACCAAUUCGGGGCAACCCGGUUCAUGGUGAUUCAUAAUAACUUUCGGAUCGACCUUUCGGUCGAUGCAUCAUUCAAGUUUCUGCCCUAUCAGUUGUGGAUGGUAGGGUAUUGGCCUACCAUGACUUUAACGGGUAACGGAGAAUUAGGGUUCGAUUCCGGAGAGGGAGCCUGAGAAAUGGCUACCACAUCCAAGGAAGGCAGCAGG